GCAGGCGGACUCCCAACCACUACACCACCAGGGAAGCCCCCCCGUCCUCUUUUUAUUGUUAACUUUUGAUGGAUGUUCAUACAUACAGAUAGGAAAGUACACAGGUUGUAGUUAUACAGCUUGAUGAAUUUUUACAAAUACAUUGAUCAAAGAUGUAUGCAUUUAUCAUAAAAAUUAUGUUGUAUUUUAUAUUUAAAAAACUUUCCUUAGGUAAGAAGUGGAUUUAUUUAGAGAGAUACACAUUCCAUAGACAGAAUUCAGUCCAUCUCAAAAGGCGAGAACAGCCUUGGGAAAAACACACUCCACAGACAGAGUUUGGGUCAUCUCAGAAGGUGAGAGGCCAAAAAUUAUUUUUUAAAAGGGAGUAACAAUAAAAAGAGAAGAAUAUUGAACACAAAAUUUAUUUAUUUAAUUAUUGGCCACGCUGCAGCUUGUGGGAAUUAGUUUCCUGAUCAGGGAUCAGACCCAGGGCCCCAGCAGCGGAAACGCACAGUCCUAACCACUGGACUGCCAGAGAAUUCCCUGAAUACAAAAUUUAGAAUAGUGGUUUCCUCUGGUGGGGACUCAGGGGAUGGGACAGAGAAGGACACAUUAUCAGUAAUGUUCUAAUUCCUAAAUUGAGCAGCAAGUUCACAGUUUAUUAUGCUUCUUGAUAUAUGUUUUCUUUUGUACAUCCUAAAAUCAACUCAAAGUCCUGCAGUCUGGGGGCAUUCUGCUUGAAGACAAAUGAACGCUGCAUAAUUCAAAGGCUCCUGGGAGCAUUCCUGUAAUUGAUCAUCUUGACUCAUCUGAAAACAAAACAAGUCUCUAUGAAGAAAGGAAAAAGGAAAGCAUAUGAAACAUUGUAAGACAAUUCAAUACUAUAUCUGAUGGAGGUAAGUGUGGAGAUGAAAACCAGGUGUGUGAUGUGACAGAGAACGGCCAUUCAGGGGGAGGCACCAAACAUUCUCUACUGUGGCUGAUAUUCCCAGGCAGGAGUGAAAGAAGAUAUCCAUCAGACAACUAUGAACUUCUGUCCCAUUACCUGGCCGCGCAGCCUGUGGCCUCUUGUGCUCACGGCGACCACGAAGGGAUCCGGAGUGGACUUCUCUCCUUCACCUGAACUCUACGAGGAACUGGAGCCUUGGUACCAGCAGAGGCCCCUGGCACUCGUCUGCCUCCUUGGAGAGUCCAGAUGAAUUUGGGGGACAUGGAUUCAAGCCCUGGUCCGGGAAGAUCCCACAUGCCGCGGAG